AGGAUGAACGCUGGCGGCGUGCCUAAUACAUGCAAGUCGAACGAGUCCUUCGGGACGAGUGGCGGACGGGUGAGUAACACGUUGGUACCUGCCCCGAAGUGGGGAAUAACUGCCCGAAAGGGUGGCUAAUACCGCAUAAUACCGCAAGGUUAAAGCAGUAAUGCGCUUCGGGAGGGGCCUGCGUCCCAUUAGCUAGUUGGUAGGGUAAUGGCCUACCAAGGCGACGAUGGGUAGCUGGAUCGAGAGGUUGACCAGCCACACUGGGACUGAGAUACGGCCCAGACUCCUACGGGAGGCAGCAGUAAGGAAUCUUCCACAAUGGACGAAAGUCUGAUGGAGCAACGCCGCGUGCAGGAUGACGGUCUUCGGAUUGUAAACUGCUUUUAUAUGGGAAGAUUAUGACGGUACCAUAUGAAUAAGGACCGGCUAACUACGUGCCAGCAGCCGC
rnacentral:rRNA from 1 species